AUUGAACGCUGGCGGCAGGCCUAACACAUGCAAGUCGAGCGAGCGGCGGACGGGUGAGUAAUGUCUGUGAAACUGCCCGAUGGAGGGGGAUAACUACUGUAAACGGUAUCUAAUACCGCAUACUAUCAGAUGUGCCCCGAUGGGAUUAGCUAGUAGGUGGGGUAACGGCUCACCUAGGCGACGAUCCCUAGCUGGUCUGAGAGGAUGAGCAGCCACACUGGAACUGAGACACGGUCCAGACUCCUACGGGAGGCAGCAGUGGGGAAUAUUGCACAAUGGGAGCAAGCCUGAUGCAGCCAUGCCGCGUGUGUGAAGAAGGCCUUCGGGUUGUAAAGCACUUUCAGCGGGGAGGCGUUACCCGCAGAAGAAGCACCGGCUAACUCCGUGCCAGCAGCCGCGGUAAUUC
rnacentral:rRNA from 1 species